ensembl:snRNA U6 U6 spliceosomal RNA
GUGCUCCCUUCGGCAGCACAUAUACUAAAAUUGGAACGAUACAGAGAAGAUUCGCAUGCCUUUGUCCAAGGAUGACAUGCAAAUUAGUGAAGCAUUCCAUAUUUUU